rnacentral:rRNA from 1 species
AAGGUUUCCGUAGGUGAACCUGCGGAAGGAUCAUUACCGAGUGUAGGGUUCCUAGCGAGCCCAACCUCCCACCCGUGUUUACUGUACCUUAGUUGCUUCGGCGGGCCCGCCAUUCAUGGCCGCCGGGGGCUCUCAGCCCCGGGCCCGCGCCCGCCGGAGACACCACGAACUCUGUCUGAUCUAGUGAAGUCUGAGUUGAUUGUAUCGCAAUCAGUUAAAACUUUCAACAAUGGAUCUCUUGGUUCCGGCAUCGAUGAAGAACGCAGCGAAAUGCGAUAACUAGUGUGAAUUGCAGAAUUCCGUGAAUCAUCGAGUCUUUGAACGCACAUUGCGCCCCCUGGUAUUCCGGGGGGCAUGCCUGUCCGAGCGUCAUUGCUGCCCAUCAAGCACGGCUUGUGUGUUGGGUCGUCGUCCCCUCUCCGGGGGGGACGGGCCCCAAAGGCAGCGGCGGCACCGCGUCCGAUCCUCGAGCGUAUGGGGCUUUGUCACCCGCUCUGUAGGCCCGGCCGGCGCUUGCCGAACGCAAAUCAAUCUUUUUCCAGGUUGACCUCGGAUCAGGUAGGGAUACCCGCUGAACU